UUGGUAAAUUUACCAAAGACGUCAGUGUGGAGUUAUUGGAGAGCGAGCUUCCGGGGUCCAUGACGAUGACUUCUGUUUUGUUUGAUCGACCGUUUUACUGCCCUGACACAGACACCGUUUGGAAACAAUUAAGUUUGGAUAAAUUCACCAAAGACGUCAGCGUGGAGUUGUUGGAGAGCGAGCUUCCGGGUCCAUGACGAUGACUUCUGUUUUGUUUGGUCAGCCGUUUUACUGCCCUGACACAGACACCGUUUGGAAACAAUUAAGUUUGGAUAAAUUCACCAAAGACGUCACCGUGGAGUUGUUGGAGAGCGAGCUUCCGGGUCCAUGACGAUGACUUCUGUUUUGUUUGAUCAGCCGUUUUACUGCCCUGACACAGACACCGUUUGGAAACAAUUAAGUUUGGUAAAUUCACCAAAGACGUCACCGUGGAGUUAUUGGAGAGCGAGCUUCCGGGGUCCAUGACGAUGACUUCUGUUUUGUUUGAUCAGCCGUUUUACUGCCCUGACACAGACACCGUUUGGAAACAAUUAAGUUUGGUGAAUUCACCAAAGACGUCAGUGUGGAGUUGUUGGAGAGCGAGCUUCCGGGAUCCAUGACGAUGACUUCUGUUUUGUUUGAUCAGCCGUUUUACUGCCCUGACACAGACACCGUUUGGAAACAAUUAAGUUUGGAUAAAUUCACCAAAGACGUCACCGUGGAGUUAUUGGAGAGCGAGCUUCCGGGGUCCAUGACGAUGACUUCUGUUUUGUUUGAUCAGCCGUUUACUGCCCUGACACAGACACCGUUUGGAAACAAUUAAGUUUGGUAAAUUUACCAAAGACGUCAGUGUGGAGUUAUUGGAGAGCGAGCUUCCGGGGUCCAUGACGAUGACUUCUGUUUUGUUUGAUCGACCGUUUUACUGCCCUGACACAGACACCGUUUGGAAACAAUUAAGUUUGGAUAAAUUCACCAAAGACGUCAGCGUGGAGUUGUUGGAGAGCGAGCUUCCGGGUCCAUGACGAUGACUUCUGUUUUGUUUGGUCAGCCGUUUUACUGCCCUGACACAGACACCGUUUGGAAACAAUUAAGUUUGGAUAAAUUCACCAAAGACGUCACCGUGGAGUUAUUGGAGAGCGAGCUUCCGGGGUCCAUGACGAUGACUUCUGUUUUGUUUGAUCAGCCGUUUUACUGCCCUGACAUAGACACCGUUUGGAAACAAUUAAGUUUGGUAAAUUCACCAAAGACGUCAGUGUGGAGUUAUUGGAGAGCGAGCUUCCGGGGUCCAUGACGAUGACUUCUGUUUUGUUUGAUCGGCCAUUUUACUGCCCUGACACAGACACCGUUUGGAAACAAUUAAGGCCACUUACAUCCUGGUUGCCCAUGUCCCAGUAGGGCCUCUCCCCGUAGGACAUGACCUCCCACAUGACGAUACCAAAGCUCCAGACAUCUGAGGGCGAGGAGAAGCGGUGAUACUGGAUGGCCUCUGGAGCGGUCCACAGAACCACACUCUUCCCUCCGUGCUGGAGAGGACACCACAGUGAAUCAGCCUGCUGACUGCCAAGUUCGAACAUCGACCACCAUGACACAGACAAAGCAGAGACAAGGCGCACGUCCGUCAGUACAUUUGAGUUUUUGUAUAUUCAUAUAUUGUGUCUAACUGGAGCUGUCGAGAUAACCCCAUUCCCUCAGCGACUGCUUCAGUGAUGUAAGCAGGGACUUCCCAAAGUAAAA